AUUGAACGCUGGCGGCAGGCCUAACACAUGCAAGUCGAGCGGAGCGGCGGACGGGCGAGUAAUGCCUAGGAAUCUGCCUGGUAGUGGGGGAUAACGUCCGGAAACGGGCGCUAAUACCGCAUACUAUCAGAUGAGCCUAGGUCGGAUUCGCUAGUUGGUGGGGUAAAUGCCUACAAAGGCGACGAUCCGUAAUCGGUCUGAGAGGAUGAGCAGUCACACGGGAACUGAGACACGGUCCGGGCGCGUAGGGUAGGCAGCAGUGGUGAAUAUUGGACAAUGGGCGAAAGCCUGAUCCGACCGUGCCGCGUGUGUGAGAAAGGUCUUCGGAUUGUAAAGCACUUUAAGUUGGGAGGCGUUACCAACAGAAUAAGCACCGGCUAACGUCGUGCCAGCAGCGGCGGUAAUAC
rnacentral:rRNA from 1 species